rnacentral:misc_RNA from 2 species
CCGAGUUUACAACUCCCAAACCCCUGUGAACAUACCUAUAUGUUGCCUCGGCGGAUCAGCCCGCGCCCCGUAAAACGGGACGGCCCGCCGCAGGAUCCACAAACUCUGUUUUUAUUGUAACUUCUGAGUAACAAAACAAAUAAAUCA